rnacentral:rRNA from 1 species
CCUACGGGAGGCUGCAGUGGGGAAUAUUGGACAAUGGGCGAAAGCCUGAUCCAGCCAUGCCGCGUGUGUGAAGAAGGCCUUCGGGUUGUAAAGCACUUUCAGUGGGGAAGAAAGCCUUGGGGCUAAUACCCUCGAGGAAGGACAUCACCCACAGAAGAAGCACCGGCUAACUCCGUGCCAGCAGCCGCGGUAAUACGGAGGGUGCGAGCGUUAAUCGGAAUUACUGGGCGUAAAGCGCGCGUAGGCGGUCUGAUAAGCCGGUUGUGAAAGCCCCGGGCUCAACCUGGGAACGGCAUCCGGAACUGUCAGGCUAGAGUGCAGGAGAGGAAGGUAGAAUUCCCGGUGUAGCGGUGAAAUGCGUAGAGAUCGGGAGGAAUACCAGUGGCGAAGGCGGCCUUCUGGAUUGACACUGACGCUGAGGUGCGAAAGCGUGGGUAGCAAACAGGAUUAGAUACCCGUGUAGUC